GAACCUAAGGGAAACUUAGCCCUAACUGCUCCCUCAAUGGGGUCCGAUGCAGAUUUGACUCUUCUGCUUGGCCGUGGUGGGGAUCCCCUUCAUUCUUCACAUCUUUAGGUCCUUCUUUCUUAAUAAGCGCUUAAGGAAAAAUAAUAACCUUCAAUAGGCAGAGAAGAACUGGUUUGUGGUCAAGGACAUUUACAUCUUAAGUCCCUACUUAACAUCAUUAAUCAAAUUCUCAAGGUUUAUUUAUAAGAAACCAGAGAAUGUCAAGGGUCCAAGACUGAGUC
ensembl:misc_RNA 7SK 7SK RNA